CAGACGAUGCGUCAUGCAUAUCAAUAAGCGGAGGAAAAGAAACUAACAAGGAUUCCCCUAGUAACGGCGAGUGAAGCGGGAAGAGCUCAAAUUUGAAAUCUUAAAGGGUUUCCCUUUACGAAUUGUAGUUUAAAGAAGUGUUUUCUGUUGAGGUUUUGGUAAAAGUUCUUUGGAAUAGGACAUCAUAGAGGGUGAGAAUCCCGUAUUUGACCUUUACUUUCAACUUUGUGAUACACUUUCAAAGAGUCGGAUUGUUUGGGAAUGCAGUCCAAAAUGGGUGGUAAAUUUCAUCUAAAGCUAAAUAUUGGCGAGAGACCGAUAGCGAAUAAGUACCGUGAGGGAAAGAUGAAAAGAACUUUGAAAAGAGAGUUAAACAGUACGUGAAAUUGUCAAAAGGGAAGCGUUUGACACCAGUGUUGUUUUUCUGAAAAUCAAUUAAAGAACUGUUUAUGCUAAGUUGUUUAGACUUUAUCAGCUAACUGUUUAGUUUUGAGCUUUUCUUUAAUGCACUUUUCAGUUAACAAGUCAACAUCAAUUUCCUUUGCUGUAAAAAAGCUUGAGGAAGGUGGCUUGAGAUUCGUCUUAAGUGUUUAUAGCCUCUUGCCUAUGCAGUCGGAGAGACUGAGGUCUGCAGCGUAGAUCCUUCGGGGCUAAAUGCAUUUGUGCUAAGUUAUAGCAUUUUAUAGACAACUUGUUGACUAUGAUUUGUCUUGUAGCUUACUCGCUUAUGUUAUUUUACCUACGCUUAGGAUGUUGAGCGCAUGUCUCUCUCU
rnacentral:rRNA from 1 species